CAACCCCGAAAAUGAUGGUUCAACUCCCUCCCCUGCUA
rnacentral:tRNA from 1 species